rnacentral:rRNA from 1 species
AUACGUAGGUGACAAACGUUAUCCGGAUUUACUGGGCGUAAAGGGCGUGUAGGCGGUCUUGCAAGUCAGAAGUGAAAUUCCUGAGCUCAACUCGGGCGCUGCUUCUGAAACUGCAGGACUUGAGUGCUGGAGGGGAUAGCGGAAUUCCUAGUGGAGCGGUAAAAUGCGCAGAUAUUAGGAAGAACACCGGUGGCGAAGGCGGCUAUCUGGACAGUAACUGACGCUGAGGCGCGAAAGUGUGGGGAGCAAACAGGAUUAGAUACCCUGGUAGUCCACACUGUAAACGAUGAAUGCUAGGUGUAGGGGGUAUCGACCCCUUCUGUGCCGCAGUCAACACAAUAAGCAUUCCGCCUGGGGAGUACGGCCGCAAGGUUGAAACUCAAAUGAAUUGGCGGGG